rnacentral:tRNA from 1 species
GGGCGCAUAGCUCAGUUGGUUAGAGCGCAUGCAUGACGCGCAUGAGGUCGGGGGUUCGAAUCCCUCUGCGCCCA